rnacentral:sRNA from 1 species
UUUUGUCUGGUCUGUCCUCUGCAAAAUAAAUAAUUUCAGCUGUCAAUCCGCAACUGGU